rnacentral:rRNA from 1 species
AUUGAACGCUGGCGGCAGGCUUAACACAUGCAAGUCGAGCGGAGAGAGGUAGCUUGCUACCGAUCUUAGCGGCGGACGGGUGAGUAAUGCUUAGGAAUCUGCCUAUUAGUGGGGGACAACAUUUCGAAAGGAAUGCUAAUACCGCAUACGUCCUACGGGAGAAAGCAGGGGAUCUUCGGACCUUGCGCUAAUAGAUGAGCCUAAGUCGGAUUAGCUAGUUGGUGGGGUAAAGGCCUACCAAGGCGACGAUCUGUAGCGGGACUGAGAGGAUGAUCCGCCACACUGGGACUGAGACACGGCCCAGACUCCUACGGGAGGCAGCAGUGGGGAAUAUUGGACAAUGGGCGCAAGCCUGACCCAGCCAUGCCGCGUGUGUGAAGAAGGCCUUAUGGUUGUAAAGCACUUUAAGCGAGGAGGAGGCUACUUUAGAUAAUACCUAGAGAUAGUGGACGUUACUCGCAGAAUAAGCACCGGCUAACUCUGUGCCAGCAGCCGCCGUAA